AAAUUGUUAAUUGAUGAUGUUGGGGAACUAAAACCAACUAUUUUCUGUGUUGUUCCCCAUGUGCUUGAUAGAGUGUACUCAGGUUUGACACAGAAGAUUUCUUCUGGGGGCUUCUUGAAGAAGACAUUAUUCAACUUUGCUUAUUCAUA